rnacentral:tRNA from 1 species
GCCGGGAUGGCGGAACGGCAGACGCAAAGGACUUAAAAUCCUUUGAGGAGUAAUCUUCGUGAGGGUUCGAGUCCCUCUCCCGGCA